rnacentral:ribozyme from 1 species
GGGGGAAGAAAGAGAGGAGGAAGCAGGGAAAGCAGAAAAAGGGGAAAGAAAAGGA